rnacentral:rRNA from 1 species
UAAGGAGGAUGCGAGCGUUAUCCGGAUUUAUUGGGUUUAAAGGGAGCGUAGGUGGAUUGUUAAGUCAGUUGUGAAAGUUUGCGGCUCAACCGGUACAGGCUCUGGAAACUGGCGGGCUAGAGAGCAGGAGAGGGCGGUGGAACUCCAUGUGUAGCGGUAAAAUGCGUAGAUAUAUGGAAGAACACCAGUGGCGAAGGCGGCCGCCUGGCCUGUUGCUGACGCUGAGGCACGAAAGCGUGGGGAGCAAAUAGG